rnacentral:rRNA from 1 species
AAAGCUCUUAUAAACAAGAUAGGGUAUUCCUACAUAGAUGGUGGGACCCACGGUAAAUGAAUCAUAAAGUCUUCAAAAAAGAAUAGAUUCGAUUGCAUUGCAUGUAGUAACAGAUGCGAUCAUACCAUCACUAAUGCACCGGAUCCCAUCAGAACUCUGCAGUUAAGCGUGCAAGGGUGAGAGUAGUACUAGGAAGGGUGACCUUCAGGAAAGUCCUCGUGUUGCGUCCCUC